GAUGAACGCUAGCUACAGGCUUAACACAUGCAAGUCGAGGGACCGGCGCACGGGUGAGUAACACGUAUCCAACCUGCCCUUUACUCGGGGAUAGCCUUUCGAAAGAAAGAUUAAUACCCGAUAUAAAGGAUGGGGAUGCGUUCCACUAGGUUGUUGGUGAGGUAACGGCUCACCAAGCCUUCGAUGGAUAGGGGUUCGGAGAGGAAGGUCCCCGGCAUCGGAACUGAGACACGGUCCAAACUGCUACGGGAGGCAGCAGUGAGGUAUAUUGGGCGAUGGGCGCUAGCCUUAACCAGCCAAGUAGCGUGAGUGAUGAAUGCUUAUGGGUCGUAAUCUUCUUUUAUAUAAGAAUAGGUAUUAAAUGAAUAAGGAUCGGCUAACUCCGUGCCAGCCGCCGCGGUAAUUC
rnacentral:rRNA from 1 species